rnacentral:rRNA from 1 species
AGUGAACGCUGGCGGUAGGCCUAACACAUGCAAGUCGAACGGCAGCACAGUAAGAGCUUGCUCUUACGGGUGGCGAGUGGCGGACGGGUGAGGAAUACAUCGGAAUCUACUUUUUCGUGGGGGAUAACGUAGGGAAACUUACGCUAAUACCGCAUACGACCUACGGGUGAAAUCAGGGGAUCUUCGCACCUUGCGCGAUUCAAUUAGCCGAUGUCGGAUUAGCUAGUUGGCGGGGUAAAGGCCCACCAAGGCGACGAUCCGUAGCUGGUCUGAGAGGAUGAUCAGCCACACUGGAACUGAGACACGGUCCAGACUCCUACGGGAGGCAGCAGUGGGGAAUAUUGGACAAUGGGCGCAAGCCUGAUCCAGCAAUACCGCGUGGGUGAAGAAGGCCUUCGGGUUGUAAAGCCCUUUUGUUGGGAAAGAAAAGCAGCAGGUUAAUACCCCGCUGUUCUGACGGUACCCAAAGAAUAAGCACCGGCUAACUUCGUG